rnacentral:rRNA from 1 species
AUUGAACGCUGGCGGCAUGCCUAACACAUGCAAGUCGAGCGGAGCUGCGGACGGGUGAGUACUGCCUAGUAAUCUGCCUGUUCGUGGGGGAUCACGUCCGGACACGGGCCCUAAUACCGCAUACUUUCAGCUGAGCCUAGGUCGUCUUAGCUCGUUGGUGGGGUAAAGGCCUACCAAGGCGACGAUCCGUAACUGCUCUGAGAGGAUGAUCAGGCACACUGGAACGGAGACACGGUCCAGACUCCUACGGGAGGCAGCAGUGGGGAAUAUUGGGCAAUGGGCGAAAGCCUGAUCCAGCAAUGCCGCGUGUGUGAAGAAGGUCUUCGGAGUGUAAAGCACUGUAAGUUGGGAGGCGGGACCAAAAGAGUAAGCAACGGCUAACUUCGUGCCAGCAGCCGCGGUAAUAC